AUGGGUUCAGAGGAUAACCCUGGGCAGAGCCUUGGCCACAACACGGCUCUGACCCCUGGACAGUUGGAAAGAAACCAGAGGGCAGGGGGUCCUGCAUGGGCAGCAAAGUCCACCUGCUCUGCCCACGUCCUCAGGGCUUCCUGCAGAGUGAAGGUCCCCAGGGCCGGACUGAUCCUCACAGCUGGGCGACAGGUCUCCUUGGAUGGGCCCCUCUGCAGGCGCCAUGCCGUGCACAGGAGGGGACCCCAGCCUGAGCUCAUGCGCCCCUCCGUGGCAAGACUCCCGCCCUUGGUGCGCAUCCACGGUGAAAACCUCACGGCCAGGACCCUGCAGACCGGAGGCCUGCACCUGCCGUUUGGAGUCGGAUGGGGCGAGACACUAUGGGGCGCACUGCCAAGGAGAAGUUCUAUAGAGGGGACGGUACAAGGAAGACACAGGAAGUUGGGGAGCACUUUUGGUUGCUGCUUCUCUCCCGAGCUGUCCCUUGUUUGUCUGAGAGCGUACUUUUCCUUCCUGUCCACAGCCGCUGGAACCUACAGUCAGGUGACUCCAGUGCCUGCCUGCUUGGCAUGGGCUUGUCCCCCAUGUGUUUGCUGGUUUGGGACGGUAUCCAGGAUGCCAUGAAUGGUGUGAUUUAGAUUCUGGAUCCUGACUUGUUCCUCUGGAGAGUUUUUGGUGGCCAGGUGUCCUUGGCUGGGCUCAGACUUUGAGCAUGGUGUGUUUGCUAGGACAAGGAUGUCCCUUCCUUCCCCCUGAGGCUUGCUGGCUGCACGGUCUGUCUCGGGCGUGCAGAGAUGUGUCCCAGGCAUGCGUGCGGGCUCGGAGCUCACCCUCCUUCCCAGGAUGCCCCAUCCUUGUUCAGAGCUCAGGCUAUCUCUAGCUUUGUUCUCCGGUUCUUUAAACUAGGAGCAUCGGGAGGUUUCCGUCCAAGCCUUAGCCACCGGCCUCUCCUGAGUGGGGCUGUGCUCAUCGGGAAGCUGUUAAAAUUAAAAAAAAAAAAAAAAAAAAAAAAAAAAA
rnacentral:lncRNA from 1 species